rnacentral:RNase_P_RNA from 2 species
AGAGUAGACGAGGUAGUUGCGGAUUCACGCUUUAAGCUGUGAGUUCGAGGAAAGUCCGGGCUCCCUAAAGACCAAACUUGCUGGAUAACGCCCAGUGCGGGUGACCGCGAGGAUAGUGCCACAGAAAUAUACCGCCGCAACGAUUGAGGUAAGGGUGCAAAGGUGGGGUAAGAGCCCACCAGCGAUAUCGCGAGGUAUCGGCUCGGUAAACCCCGGUUGGGAGCAAGGUCGGAGGGACAAGGGUUGGUCUUUUUUCCUGUCCCGAAUUGAUGUGCACCGCUUGAGGAGUUUGGUAACAAACCACCCAGAUAGAUAACUACCCUCUGAGUUUAAAGCUCCGAGAACAGAACCCGGCUUACGUUUCUACUCUUUUC